GGUUCGAUGCCUCACAAUUGCUGUGUUCUCCCUCCUGCAGAGCCCAGAGUUGAUCUCUGCACCACUCUAUCACUGCUGGGGGUGAGGAAAUGGUGGAACCGGUGAUUCAGGACUGUUUUUUCUCUCUUCUCAGUGCCUCUUUCAGUGAUAUGAAGUUAAAACCAGGAUGGAAGAUCAGUGGAGCCUUCUUUCUGCCAUCUUGCUUUACCCUCACACCCAAGAAUCAGAAUGCAGAACUUUUAAUCAGAAAAGCAUUCAGAACUCAGGAAGGACAUGGAAGACAUCCUGGUUCUCCACGUUUAACAUUGGACUGUUUCUUCAACUUAGGUGCAUAGCACUGACACUAAUCAGGGAUUAUCACCGAUAAUUUGACUUGGACUAUGGAGUUCAUUCAAAUACUUUAUCUAGACAAUUUAAGUACUGGCUUAUUUGUCAUGAAAAUCUGACAAAGUAAUUUCUUGGUAUUCAGUUGAUUUUUACUCUGUUUGGGUUAGCAGUUUAUAAACCAGUCAGUCUCUUCAUUAAAGUUCUGGGAAUUCUUACUCGUUCAAAUGAUAUGAUUCUAAAGUUCUCAAAAAUCUGUAUUCUAGAAUUCUUCUCAGGACCUUUUCCCUCCUUUCAUGAAACUCCUUAAAGAUACAGUAUUCUAUAAUUUUGCAAGCUUGUACAGUUUUCAGAAACUGCCUCAGAAUUAAGCAAUUUACAGUGGAAAUGUUUUUAAAUUGUCAUAGACACAAUUGACAAGAAAAUUUUAUUAUUUACAGGCGUGAGCCACCACACCCAGCCUCUGAAGUUAAUUUAAUAAAAUUUUAUGAAUAAAUUUA